rnacentral:rRNA from 1 species
ACAAGCGGUCGGAGCAGCCUUGUGCUGUGACGGCGUGCCUUUUGCAUAAUGAACCUACGAGUUACUUUUUCCGGCAAGGUUAAGUGUCUUGAGACAUGCAGCCGAAGCGAAAGCGAGUCUGAACAGGGCGUCAAGUCGGAAGGAGUAGACGCGAAACCAAGUGAUCUACCCUUGGCCAGGUUGAAGGUUAGGUAACACUAACUGGAGGACCGAACCGAUAAGCGUUGAAAAGCUUCCGGAUGAGCUGAGGGUGGGGGUGAAAGGCUAAUCAAACUUGGAGAUAGCUCGUACUCCCCGAAAUGCAUUUAGGUGCAGCCUCGCGGGUUACUGAUGUGAGGUAGAGCGACUGAUUGGAUGCGAGGGCUUCACCGCCUAUCAAGUCCUGACAAACUCCGAAUGCGCAUCAGUUUUACCGCGGGAGUGAGGGCAUGGGUGCUAAGGUCCAUGUCCGAGAGGGAAAGAACCCGGACCAUCAGCUAAGGUCCCCAAAUAUAUACUAAGUUGAAUAAACGAGGUUUGACUGCCUAGACAGCUAGGAUGUUGGCUUGGAAGCAGCCAUUCAUUCAAAGAGUGCGUAACAGCUCACUAGUCGAGGGUCCGGGCAUGGAUAAUAAUCGGGUAUAAGGCAGACACCGAAGGCGCGGGAUAGCAUUUAAUAAAGUAUCGGUAGGGGAGCAUACUCACAGCGUCGAAUGGUGUACGUAAGUUAUCCUGGAGCGGUGAGUAAAGCAAAUGUAGGAAUAAGUAACGAUAAGGAGGGUUAGAUUCCCUCCCGCUGUAAGACCAAGGUUUCCCGGGCAAUGCCAAUCAGCCCGGGGUCAGUCGGGUCCUAAGUCUAAGCCGAACGGCGAUGGCGAUGGCAGAGACGGUUAAUAUUCCGUCACUGCCGCAUGGGGCGACGUGGAGACGGAGCAGUGAAACCACCGCGGGGCGACGGAAGUCCCCGUUGAAGAGUGUAGGUGUUGAGGAUGGCAGGCAAAUCCACCGUCCGAGCUGAACUUGAUAGUAUGGAGUCUUCUUCGGAAGAAUCCAAUAGUGUGGGUAAUCAUACUCCCGAGAAAAUCCGCUAAGCUUAACCCAUGCGGCACCCGUACCGCAAACGGACACACGUGGUCGGGUAGAACAUACUAAGGCGUUGAGAGAUUCAUGGUUAAGGAACUAGGCAAAUUGACCCUGUAACUUCGGGAUAAAGGGUCCUCGUGAUGAGCGAGGCGCAGAGAAUAGGUCCAGGCAACUGUUUAACAAAAACACAGGGCUGUGCAAACUCGAAAGAUGACGUAUACAGCCUGACACCUGCCCGGUGCUGGAAGGUUAAGAGG